rnacentral:rRNA from 1 species
UUCUUUAAGAAAAUAAUUUAAAGUAACUCCUGCUCAAUGUAAUAAAAUAUAAAUAGCCGCAGAACCACUGUGCUAAGGUAGCAUAAUCACUUACUUCCUAAUUAGAAGAGAGUAUGAAAGGAUAAACGGUAUAAAACUGUUUCUGCGUAUCAAAUAAACUUAAUAUUUAUGUAAAAAAGCAUAAAUUAAACAACAAGACGACAAGACCCUAAUAAACUUAUCAAUUAGUUGGGGCGACAAAAUAAAAAAACCUUAACUUACACAAGCACACAACUUCCAAAGAGAAUAAAGAAAAGUUACUAUAGGGAUAACAGCGCUAUAUUUCUUAAGAGUCCCAAUCAAAAGAAAGACUUACGACCUCGAUGUUGAAUUAAUUAAUCUCAACGGGGCAAAACCUGUUAAAGAAAGUCUGUUCGACUUACAAUAAAU